rnacentral:rRNA from 1 species
AACGAACGCUGGCGGCGUGCCUAACACAUGCAAGUCGAACGGAUUGAAGGGGCUUGCUCCUUCAGUUAGUGGCGCACGGGUGAGUAACGCGUAGAUAAUCUGCCUGAUGAUCUGGGAUAACAGUUCGAAAGGACUGCUAAUACCGGAUAAGCCCGCGUGGUCUUUGGACCGUGCGGGAAAAGGGGGGGACCUUCGGGCCUUCUGUCAUCAGAUGAGUCUGCGUACCAUUAGCUAGUUGGUAGGGUAAUGGCCUACCAAGGCUACGAUGGUUAGCUGGUUUGAGGGAAUGAUCAGCCACACUGGAACUGAGACACGGUCCAGACUCCUACGGGAGGCAGCAGUGGGGAAUUUUGCGCAAUGGGCGAAAGCCUGACGCAGCAACGCCGCGUGAGUGAUGAAGGCCUUAGGGUUGUAAAGCUCUGUCGCCCGGGACGAAAAAUUAUUAGGUGAAUAGCCUAGUAAUCUGACGGUACCGGGAAAGGAAGCACCGGCUAACUCCGUGCCAGCCGCCGCCGUAACAC